GGGCCAUGGCUCAGUGGCAGAACAUCUGCCUUGGAUGCAGAAGGUCCUGGGUUUAAUCUCUAGUGACAUCU